UACGUAGGGGGCUAGCGUUGUCCGGAAUCAUUGGGCGUAAAGGGUGCGUAGGUGGCGCCGUAAGUCGGGUGUGAAAUUUCGGAGCUUAACUCCGAAACUGCAUUCGAUACUGCGGUGCUUGAGGACUGGAGAGGAGACUGGAAUUCAUGGUGUAGCAGUGAAAUGCGUAGAGAUCAUGAGGAAGACCAGUGGCGAAGGCGGGUCUCUGGACAGUUCCUGACACUGAGGCACGAAGGCCAGGGGAGCAAACGGG
rnacentral:rRNA from 1 species